UCCCUGCGAAGAAAUUAGGGUUGUUCAGUGUGCUUUCUUUGACCAAUGAGAGACUGAGAGAUCGGACGAUGGCUCCGAAGAGGAAGAGAACAUCACCGGCAACAUCUUACCAGGUCUUCCUGAGCUUCAGAGGACCCGACACCCGCCAGGGAUUCACGGAUGUCCUUUACCAUGCUCUUGUAGAUGCCGGGAUUCGUGUAUUCAGAGACAAUGAGGAGAUCCGUAAAGGCGAGUAUAUCGGCGACGAGAUCCUGAGAGCCAUCGAGGACUCCAGGAUCUUCGUGCCCAUCUUCUCCAGUACCUAUGCUUCAAGUAAGUGGUGCCUCAUUGAGCUCGCAAAAAUGGUGGAGUCCAAGGAGGGAUCGAGCGGCAGUAAAAGGAUCCUGCCCAUUUUCUAUGAUGUGAGCGUCGAUGAUGUCAAGCUUAAGACGGAGUUGUACACUAAAGCUCUAUCAAUACACAGGGAGAAGUUCAGUACCGACAUAGUGCACCAGUGGGAGGAGGCUCUUCGAGAAGCUGGAAAAAUAAAGGGAUGGGAACUGAAGGAUAAAGGUCAUGCAGAAUUUGCUAAGGCAUUCGUCAGGAAGGUUUCGGUGGAGUUGAAAGUCAACAAACAAUAUGUGACUCGGAGCCUAGUUGAGAGGAUUGAUGAGCAAGAUGCUCUUAUAAGCUUGUUGCAUCUAAAGUCCUCUCAUGAUGUUCGGUUGGUCUGGAUCCAUGGAAUGGGGGGUAUCGGUAAGACAACACUUGCCAAGGCUGUUUUCAACCGACUCUGUGAUCAUUUCGGCGGCUGCUGUUUCCUUCUAGAUGUGCUAGAAACAACCAAGCGCAAGGGUAUUGACCACUUGCAGAGACAACUCUUGCAAGAUCUUGGUGUUAAAUCAGCAGACAUCUCUGAUGAGAACGAUGGGAUCCAGAUAAUCAGCACACAGUUGCAGGACAGAAAAGUUCUAGUUGUUCUGGAUGAUGUGCACGACCAGGAGCAAAUUGGGAAACUAGCAGGAGAGGCUGGUUGGUUUGGAAAGGGAAGCAGGAUAAUCAUCACCUCCCGUAAUAAAAAUGUGCCUGUGUUUGAGGGAGGAAGAGUUGAGAUAUUGGAAGCAGAGUCCAUGAAAUUUGAAGAAUCUCUCCUCCUUUUCAGCAGGCAUGCCUUUGGGAAGGAGAAUCCACCUGAAGACUUCCGCGGCCUUUCAGAGAAAGUCGUCAGAAUUACGGGAGGGCUUCCCUUGUCUCUUGAAGUAGUAGGUUCACAACUUCGGACAAGUUACGAACAUCGUGACCGUGUCCAUUGGAAUCAUAUAAUUGGUUCCUUACAGAAAAUACCGGCCAGGAAGGUCCAAGACAGGCUUAAGAUAAGUUAUGAUGCCUUAGACUGCGAAGCGAAGAAGAUAUUCCUGGAUAUCGCGUGUUUCUUCAUUAACGAGGAGAAAACAAAAGCAAUUUACAUGUGGCAAUCAUGUGGCUUUAAACCAUAUUUGGCAGUGAAAGAGCUUGUUGAUGCGUCCCUAAUAAAACUCGCAGAUGACAAAAAGUUCUCGAUGCAUGAUCAGCUGCGGGACCUUGGAAGAAAAAUCGUUUGUGAUGAGAGGUUAAAGGACCUCGGAAAGCCUUGCAGUAGAAUAUGGAUGCAUGAGGAUGCUCUAAAAGUGGUGCGGGAAGAAGAGGGCAGAGAAAAUGUUUAGAUGCUUAGUCUUUCGUCCGAAGGACCCUCGGAAGAUUGCGUCCUUACAAAACAUGAAUUGAAGAAUUUCAAUAAUCUAAUAUUUCUCAGUCUCAUAAGAUCGAAUUUUUCGGGAGAUCUAGAGCAAGUCCUCCCCAAGUUGAUAUGGCUUUCUUGGCAUUCUUGUCCUGGCGUAUUUCAGGGAACUAAUCUGUAUUUGAAGAAUCUAGUCGUGCUUGACCUCUCAGAAAGUUCCAUAAGCGAAACUUGGACUGGAUGGCGCCAUAUCAGAAUGUGCAAGGAAUUGAAAGUUCUAGACCUCAAGAGGUGCAACCACUUGACCAAAAUGCCCGAGGUUGCACAAAGUUGGAGAGACUAAUACUCGAAGGUUGCAGUCACCUAGUUGAAAUAGACCAUUCCGUAGGAAAGUUGAAAUGCCUAAAGUAUCUGAACACCGGAGACUGUCCUUCUCUCAGAAAAAUUCCGAGAGAAGUAUGCUGUUUGGAUGGCCUCGAGGAUAUGGUCUUGACAACGGAAGGCUACUUCCAGAAAAUUCUCAAGCUUCCGGACUCCAUUGGGAGACUCUCGAGACUUCAGCGCCUGCGUGUGAGUUUGGGAAGGACCGUACUUCCAAGCUCACUUGGAC